rnacentral:misc_RNA from 1 species
GAUGAAGAACGCAGCGAAAUGCGAUAAGUAGUGUGAAUUGCAGAAUUCAGUGAAUCAUCGAAUCUUUGAACGCACAUUGCGCCCUUUGGUAUUCCUUAGGGCAUGCCUGUUCGAGCGUCAUUUAAACCUUCAAGCUAAGCUUGGUGUUGGGUGACUGUCCGCUUCACGGCGGACUCGCCUCAAAAUUAUUGGCGGCCGGUACAUUGGCUUCGAGCGCAGCAGAAACGCGAACUCGGGCCCGUCGUAUUAGCUCCCAGAAGCUAUCUUCACAAUUUUGACCUCGGAUCAGGUAGGGAUACCCGCUGAACUUAAGCAUAUCAAUAAGCGGAGGA